GAUGCGUUGAUGAGAAGCUAACAUGUGAGGAGGCCUAACUUUGUGUUGGGUUCUCCAGUGAAAUCUACUCGUUACGCUUGGCUUCUGAGCAUC
rnacentral:snoRNA from 1 species